rnacentral:rRNA from 1 species
UGACCUGCGGAGGAUCAUUACCUAGAGUUUGUAGACUUCGGUCUGCUACCUCUUACCCAUGUCUUUUGAGUACCUUCGUUUCCUCGGCGGGUCCGCCCGCCGAUUGGACAACAUUCAAACCCUUUGCAGUUGCAAUCAGCGUCUGAAAAAACAUAAUAGUUACAACUUUCAACAACGGAUCUCUUGGUUCUGGCAUCGAUGAAGAACGCAGCGAAAUGCGAUAAGUAGUGUGAAUUGCAGAAUUCAGUGAAUCAUCGAAUCUUUGAACGCACAUUGCGCCCCUUGGUAUUCCAUGGGGCAUGCCUGUUCGAGCGUCAUUUGUACCUUCAAGCUCUGCUUGGUGUUGGGUGUUUGUCUCGCCUCUGCGUGUAGACUCGCCUUAAAACAAUUGGCAGCCGGCGUAUUGAUUUCGGAGCGCAGUACAUCUCGCGCUUUGCACUCAUAACGACGACGUCCAAAAGUACAUUUUUACACUCUUGACCUCGGAUCAGGUAGGGAUACCCGCUGAACUUAAGCAUAUC